UCUUCCUGUACAGAUGUUGGAGCCCAGCUGUCUCCAUCACAAACUCUGCAGACUCCACAAAGUUCAGUUUGAGGAUCACAGAGUGUUUUUGGUUAGAACAUGAUGCUCUUCAUUCCAGUGCUGCUCCUUCAUGUAUUCACUGGUGUCAGCAGUGAAGAACUCACUCCAGUCAACAAUGAAGAGUACAGUUUGGUAGAAAACACUGUUUCUUUGUCCUACAAGGCCUCAAAAGUGUCACCAGGAGAAUACUUCUUCUGGUAUCGACAACAUCCAGGAAAAUCUCCACAGCUUCUCAUCUCACACUCCAGUUCAGGAACAAUUGGAACGAAUGAAGAUGCCAGACUGAAGAUUCAAGUGGAGGGAAACCAAAUCACAAUGGAGAUCUCCUCUGCUGCACUGACAGACUCUGCUGUGUACUACUGUGCUGUGAGGCCCACAGUGACAGGAAACAGUAAAACUCUGUACAAAAACCUUUGGAGCAAAGACAACAGAAAACUCCACAACAUCCACUAGAGGGAGACACACUCUGUUACACUUGUAUGAUCUGACUCUUUACCAUCAUCAUCUCCAUCUUUGUCUUCUCUGCACUGUAGUCAGACAUGGAUAAGAUCUCUGUGAAUUUCCUCCUCUGAGGUUUCUGUCAUUGUUCUCACAUGUUGACAUAGAGACAGUUUAUCUAAAUUUCUGCUUCUUGAUGCUGCUGGACUGUGAAACCCACUAAGUCACUGGAUGUUAUAUGAUACUGUACUAAUAAACCAGACUUGAGCUCA